rnacentral:rRNA from 1 species
AACGAACGCCGGUGGUAUGCUUAACACAUGCAAGUCGAACGAAUGAAUUUGAAGCUUGCUUCAAAUGAUUUAGUGGCAAACGGGUGCGUAACGCGUGGGAAUCUACCUGUCAGUAUGGAAUAACUUUUGGAAACGAAAGCUAAUACCAUAUACGCUCGAAAGAGGAAAGAUUCAUCGCUGACAGAUGAGCCCGCGUAUGAUUAGGUAGUUGGUGGGGUAAUGGCCUACCAAGCCGACGAUCUUUAGCUGGUCUGAGAGGAUGAUCAGCCACACUGGGACUGAGACACGGCCCAG